rnacentral:rRNA from 1 species
GUGUUGUUUGUUAAGGGCACACGGUGGAUGCCUUGGCAUUAUGAGCCGAUGAAGGACGUGUAAGGCCGCGAUAGGCCUCGGGGAGUUGCCAAUAGAGCGUUGAUCCGAGGGUGUCCGAAUGGGGAAACCUGGCCAUGGUUAUGUGUGGUUACCCAUCAGUGAAUUCAUAGCUGGUGUGGGGGUGACGCGGGGAAGUGAAACAUCUCAGUACCCGUAGGAGAAGAAAAUAAUUAAUGAUUCUGCUAGUAGUGGCGAACGAACGUGGAUGAGGCUAAACCGUAUGCGUGUGAUACCUGGCAGGGGUUGCGUGUGUGGUGUUGUGGGGCGUUGUUGGAGGAGGCUGCCGGCUCCUCGCUUGUGAUGUGUGUGUUAGCGGAAGUGGUUUGGAAUGGCCUGCCGUAGUGGGUGAGAGUCCCGUACGUGAAAACAUGUGCAUGCGAGUGGAUGAUGUUCCCGAGUAGCAGCGGGCUCGUGGAAUCUGCUGUGAAUCUGCCGGGACCACCCGGUAAGCCUAAAUACUUAUGAUGACCGAUAGCGGAUUAGUACCGUGAGGGAAUGGUGAAAAGUACCCCGGGAGGGGAGUGAAAUAGUACCUGAAACCGUGUGCUUACAAUCCGUCAGAGCCUCUUUUUGUUAGGUGAUGGCGUGCCUUUUGAAGAAUGAGCCUGCGAGUCAGCGGCAUGUCGCGAGGUUAACCCGUGUGGGGUAGUCGUAGCGAAAGCGAAUCCUAAUGAGGGUGUUUUUUUAGUGGCAUGUCCUGGACCCGAAGCGGGGUGAUCUACCCAUGGCCAGUGUGAAGCAGCUGUAAGAGGUUGUGGAGGCGCGAACCCACUUAGGUUGAAAACUGAGGGGAUGAGCUGUGGGUAGGGGUGAAAGGCCAAUCAAACUCCGUGAUAGCUGGUUCUCCCCGAAAUGCAUUUAGGUGCAGCGUUGUGUGUUUCUUGCUGGAGGUAGAGCUACUGGUUGGUUGAGCGGGACUACAAUCUUAGCAAUGUCAGCCAAACUCCGAAUGCCGGUAAUGUUAAGCAUGGCAGUGAGACUGCGGGGGAUAAGCUCCGUUGGUCGAGAGGGAAACAGCCCAGAUCGCCGGUUAAGGCCCCUAAGGGUGUACUAAGUGGAAAAGGAUGUGGGAUCGCGAAGACAGCCAGGAGGUUGGCUUAGAAGCAGCCAUCCUUGAAAGAGUGCGUAAUAGCUCACUGGUCGAGUGGUUCUGCGCCGACAAUGUAGUGGGGCUCAAGUACACCGCCGAAGCCGCGGCAGUCAGCAAUUUUUUUGUUGGUUGGGUAGGGGAGCGUCGUGCACUGCUGUGAAGCACCUGGGUGACUUGAUGGUGUGGAGUGUGUGCGAGUGAGAAUGCAGGCAUGAGUAACGAAUGAAAAGUGGAAAACUUUUCCGCCGGAUGACUAAGGGUUCCUGGGUUAAGCUAAUCUUCCCAGGGUGAGUCGGGACCUAAGGCGAGGCCGACAGGCGUAGUCGAUGGAUAACCAGUUGAUAUUCUGGUACCCGUGUAUGUGCGCCCAGUGGUGAAUCAGUGGUACUAACCAUCCAUGGAUCUGCUGGUCAUGCUUUGUGUGUGGUUGGUGGUGAUGUGCGUGGGAUCUUCGUUGGUAGUAGCCA